UACGAAGGGGGCUAGCGUUGCUCGGAAUCACUGGGCGUAAAGCGCACGUAGGCGGCUUUUUAAGUCAGGGGGUGAAAUCCUGGAGCUCAACUCCAGAACUGCCUUUGAUACUGAGAAGCUUGAGUCCGGGAGAGGGAUGUGGAAUUCCAGGUGUAGCGGUGAAAUGCGUAGAUAUCUGGAGGAACACCGGUGGCGAAGGCAGCUCGCUGGGACGGUACUGACGCUGAGGCGCGAAAAGCGUGGGGGAGCAAACAGGG
rnacentral:rRNA from 1 species